rnacentral:antisense_RNA from 1 species
CGGAAUUUAGAUGGGCAGAAGCAUUUUAGGAGAUUUUCAGAUUGAGAAAUGGAGGCAUCGAGGUCAAAUCUUUUACCUAAACCACUGAGCAGCAGAGACAGCUUCCUAUCCCAUGUUUCCGUGCUGGAGCAGACCCGUGUGUGUUUGGGAGCAGGGGUAGCUGGAGCUCUUGGAGGCCUUGCAGAGAGAUGGCCUUGCCCAUGAUGAAGUCCUCUGGUGACUCUGCAGGACUGGCUUCAGUCUCAAAUUGGAUAUUUCCACUGGCACAUAACCAAGCCUCAGUCAAUGGAACUAUACAUCCAUAAGUCUCAGAAAGCAGAAGGAUGGCUUCCUAAAUGAUUUUUCCUUAUGCUGUAUGUGCCAAUAGAUAUCACUAAUACAAUCAGUACAAA